rnacentral:rRNA from 1 species
UACGUAGGGGACAAGCGUUGUCCGGAUUUACUGGGCGUAAAGGGCACGCAGGCGGUUUUUUAAGUCAGAUGUGAAAGGUACCGGCUCAACCGGUGACAUGCAUUUGAAACUGAAAGACUUGAGUAUUGGAGAGGCAAGUGGAAUUCCUAGUGUAGCGGUGAAAUGCGUAGAUAUUAGGAGGAACACCGGUGGCGAAGGCGGCUUGCUGGACAAAUACUGACACUCAGAGACGAAAGCUAGGGUAGCAAAU